rnacentral:rRNA from 1 species
UCUACGGGAGGCUGCAGUGAGGAAUAUUGGUCAAUGGGCGUAAGCCUGAACCAGCCAAGCCGCGUGAGGGAUGAAGGUUCUAUGGAUCGUAAACCUCUUUUAUAAGGGAAUAAAGUGCGGGACGUGUCCCGUUUUGAAUGUACCUGAUGAAUAAGGAUCGGCUAACUCCGUGCCAGCAGCCGCGGUAAUACGGAGGAUCCGAGCGUUAUCCGGAUUUAUUGGGGUUAAAGGGUGCGUAGGCGGCCGUUUAAGUCAGCGGUGAAAGUCAGUGGCUCAACCAUAGAAGUGCCGUUGAAACUGGUAGGCUUGAGUUGGUUAGAGGCAGGCGGAAUGCGUGGUGUAGCGGUGAAAUGCUUAGAUAUCACGCAGAACCCCGAUUGCGAAGGCAGCCUGCCAGGCCAUGACUGACGCUGAUGCACGAAAGCGUGGGGAUCGAACAGGAUUAGAUACCCUGGUAGUC